rnacentral:sRNA from 1 species
AAUAGAUCCUGGGUUUGAGCAGUUUAAAAUGUCAGAAAGAUUGCAUGGGAACUGGAUCAGACUGUACUUGGAGGAAAAGCAUUCAGAAGUCCUGUUCAACCUGGGCUCCAAGGUUCUCAGGCAGUACCUGGAUGCUCUGAAGAUGCUGAGCUUGUCCCUGAGCGCACAAGUGGCCCAGUACGACAUCUAUUCGAUGAUGGUGCUCACCCUGCUCCUGCUCAGCGUCCCACAAGCACUGCGCAGAAAGGCUGAGCUGGAAGUCCCACUGUCAUCUCCUGGGUUUUCUCUGCUCUUUUAUUUGGUGAUCCUGGUUCUUUCGGCCGUUCACGUCAUUGUGUGCACCUCAGCUGAAAGUUCGUGCUACUUCUGUAGCCUCUCGUGGCUGGCGGCAGGUGGGGUGAUGGUGCUGGCCUCGGCGCUGCUGUGUGUGAUUGUGUCUGUUCUGACCAACGUGCUCGUGGGUGGAAACACCCCAAGGAAGACUUUGGUUGAACACCUGGUGUGUGCCAAGUGCUGGCAGUGCUCUGGACAGGGGGCCUCAGGGAAGGACGUGGAGCAGCCUUAUCCCAGGCCUCUGGGUGUCCUGACACAGGUGUUCACAUCUGUGCUGUCAGGUCAGAUGCCUUCGUUCUUGGAAAGCUAGGUUCCUGCGACUGUUAGCAAGGUGAUUGUAAAGAACUGGCGGUCACAGAGGAAUGUGCCCCCACUGAGGGGGUGUGUGAAUCAGACAGCCUCCCAGCAGAAGUGUGGGAGCUGCAGCUGAGGG